GAUACUGAAAUGUUUCGUUUUGAAAGCAAUCGUCAACCCUGGAUUGUCCCUAAGGGGAAUCCAAGAGUUGUCUAUUAUUAAUACCUGUUAUCUAUUGUUCUUUGCUAUUCGUUCUUGUAUACUAUACCUGCCUUAUCAACAGGUCGAGGAACGGUUGACAAUGCCUCUCGGCCAUCUCCAAGUGUGGGGUUGCCACCCACUACGUCACUGACCCUUGCAGUGGCAUCAGAUCCUGCAGCAGCGGCGGUCCCAACCCCAGCUUCAUUGGUGUCUGAUUCGAGUGCAGUAGCUCUGCUAGCAGAAUGCCCGCACCGAGCACAGCCUCCCAUUGUGUCCGUGCUUGCAUCUACAUCUGCCAUGUCUUCUUCUUCCGCUGGAGUGAGCCCUGAUACGCCCGGUGCAGCCACAGAUUCUCCUGAAGUGGAUUGUUCCUCUGGACAGCGUCUUACAGGGAGGCAGUCAGUGAGCUGGAUCGCUUCGGAAACGUGGAACUUCCUGAUCAGGUUUCAGAGCAUUAUCGUCGGCUUGAUCGUGUUUCUCUUGGCGGACAGGAUCUGGAAAUUUCUGGGAUACUGACGCUUAUUGGGAGGCUGAACAGUGAGCACGACUACCGACUGGCCGAAUAUUUUAAAAUCAUUCAAUCACCGUGCCCAGUGCCCAGUGCCCAGCUGCUGCAAUUGCGGUCACGGCAUUCUUGCUAUUCGCUGUGAUUUGUCUAUCUACAUGUAUGUAUGCCCAUCUUUCCCCAUGCCCAUGGAGGAGCCGUUUUGCGAUUCCGUGAUGACUUCAUUUUUUGUUUUUCGUUUUUUUGCUGUCCAAGAUUGGCUGUUAUCACGACCUCACAGUCAGUCACCAAUACCCUGUACUCGAAACUGUGAUUCUGCAGUUGCCAUGGCAAUGACGUUAGUCAUUGCAUUCGUCUGAGUCGCACCGCAAACCAAUUGACAGGCCGAAAUAACGUUGUGCACAAGCACACUUGAUUCUUUGACUCUUUGCCGUGAUAAUGAUGCAGACUUUAUCCGAUGGACCUUUCCUCUUUUAUUUUUUUAUUUACUUUUCCUCUUUCAGGUCGUCUCCUUCCACUGUUUGAGAGUGGCAGACUCAACUGAGCGUUAUUAUGCUCUACAACCAUAAUUUAAUCCUUAGACAUUUGAAAUUCUCCCAUGUCCCUCUUAGAGAUUUUACUUUUUCUUUGGUUGUGUGUGUGUGUGUGUGUGUGUGUGGUGUGUGUGUGUAUGUGUGUGUGUGUGUGUGUGUGCGUGUGUGUGUGUGUGUGUGUGUGUGUGUGUGGUGUGUGUGUGUGUGUACGUGUGUGUGUGUGUGUGUGUGUGCGUGUGUGUGUGUAUGUGUGUGUGUGUGUGUAUGUGUGUGUGUGUGUGUGCGUGCGUACGCGCGUGUGGAUGUGGGUGUGCCAGUGAAUGUAUUUCCCUAGCUGUGUUGAGCUCCGCUUUCAGUUUUAGGAUCAUGACACGCUGGAACGCGGAUGUGCUACACCCCCCCCCCCUCCCCAUUUUUCAUCUUAUCUGCAGGCAGAUUUGCUCAUCCUCGUCUUUAUAUUUUCAUCUCAAUUUGCUAUUUUUCUGAUGCUUUCUGCUUUCAUGACGAUAGCAGGCAUUCUUCACUAAAGCAUUGUCUUUCAUGUCGUAGCAAUAAUUUUUAUUGGUAGUUGCCGACAUACUGUGUUUUUUUUUCUCUACGAAAUCUACAUAUCUCCA